UACGAAGGGGGCUAGCGUUGUUCGGAAUUACUGGGCGUAAAGCGCACGUAGGCGGAUAUUUAAGUCAGGGGUGAAAUCCCGCAGCUCAACUGCGGAACUGCCUUUGAUACUGGGUAUCUUGAGUAUGGAAGAGGUAAGUGGAAUUCCGAGUGUAGAGGUGAAAUUCGUAGAUAUUCGGAGGAACACCAGUGGCGAAGGCGGCUUACUGGUCCAUUACUGACGCUGAGGAGCGAAAGCGUGGGGAGCAAACAGG
rnacentral:rRNA from 1 species